rnacentral:rRNA from 1 species
UACGUAGGCAGCGAGCGUUGUCCGGAAUUACUGGGCGUAAAGAGCUCGUAGGUGGUUUGUCGCGUUGUUCGUGAAAACUCACAGCUCAACUGUGGGCGUGCGGGCGAUACGGGCAGACUGGAGUACUGCAGGGGAGACUGGAAUUCCUGGUGUAGCGGUGGAAUGCGCAGAUAUCAGGAGGAACACCGGUGGCGAAGGCGGGUCUCUGGGCAGUAACUGACGCUGAGGAGCGAAAGCGUGGGGAGCGAACAGG